GUAAGUGUAGCUUAAUUGGUAGAGCGAAGGUUUGUGGUGCCUUUGGUUGUGGGUUCGAGUCCCAUCACUUACC
rnacentral:tRNA from 1 species